rnacentral:lncRNA from 1 species
UAAGAAGUGUCUUUCACCUCCUGCCAUGAUUCUGAGGCUUCCCCAGCCAUGUGGAACUGCCCAGUAAAAGAUUAACAUCAAUAACUAAUAAUCAACUGGAACAAUACAAUGACAGUCAAUCUGAUGACCAAGAUGGCUACCGAGUGACGGAAGAGUGGGUAGCAUACACAGCAGGGAGACAUUGGACAAAGGAUGACUCACAUACCAGAUGGGACAGAACAGGCUCAUGGAAGGUUGCAUCAAGCUACUCACAGUGGAAAGAUGACGUGAAGAGACAGAAGACAGCCAGCCGCAAGCCAAGGGGAGAGGUCUGGACCAAACUUCUCCCUCAUGGCCCCCAGAAGGAACCAACUCUUCAGGAACCUCAAUUUUGGAUCUAGCCUCCAGAACUGUGAGGUAAUACAUUUCUGUUGUUUAAGCCACAGUGUGUGGUGCGUUGUUAUGGCAGUCCUAGCAAACUAAUACAGAAAGCCAGUGUCUUAGGCCUUGUGCCUCAGGAUAUCUCAUUCACCCUUUCUCUGCAAGGUAGUUAUUACCUUCUCAUCUAAAACUCAGGAGGCUUGCCUAUGGACUCACAGCUGCCUGCUGCAAGAGAUUGGACUUAACCUGUGUUUGACUCCAAGUUGAGUGGUUUUCACUUUUCCAAAAACAAAUCCAGGAAGCUAAGGGAAAUGCACUACUUUCCUUAAAAAGGAAAAAUAUGAACAUUUUGAGUGUUAUACACAAAAAAUAAUGUUAUAAACACCCAUGUACCCGCCACCUAAAUUUAAUAAAUGUUAACAUAUAUUUCCCUUACAUCUUCUUAAAUAAAUAAACGAUUACAGAUACUUCUCUUAGGCUUCUGUCUGUAGAUCAUUCCGUUUUCUCCUCCAUAAAGGCAAACACAGCCACUAAUUUGAUUUAUAUUCAGUUCCUAUUUUAAUAUUUUCAUGAUACAUUUAUCCAUAAAUAAUGUGGUAUUCCAUGUAUUCUUAUAAAACAAAAUAAAUGGUAUCAU